rnacentral:rRNA from 1 species
UUGGAGGGCAAGUCUGGUGCCAGCAGCCGCGGUAAUUCCAGCUCCAAUAGCGUAUAUUAAAGUUGUUGCAGUUAAAAAGCUCGUAGUUGAAUUUCGGGGUUCUACCGUUGGUCGGGCUACCAAGUCUGUACUGAUGUGUAGAAUUUCUACCUUCUGGGGAACCAUCAUGUUAUUAAUUUAGCGUGGUGGGAAACCAGGACCUUUACCUUGAAAAAAUUAGAGUGUUCAAAGCAGGCUUACGUCUGAAUACAUUAGCAUGGAAUAAUAGAAUAGGACGGUGGUCCUGUUUUGUUGGUUUCUGAAUCACCGUAAUGAUUAAUGGGGAUAGUUGGGGGCAUUAGUAUUCAAUUGUCAGAGGUGAAAUUCUUGGAUUUAUUGAAGACUAACUUCUGCGAAAGCAUUUGCCAAGGAUGUUUUCAUUAAUCAAGAACGAAAGUUAGGGGAUCGAAGACGAUCAGAUACCGUCGUAGUCUUAACCAUAAACUAUGCCGACUAGGGAUCGGACGAUGUUAACUUUUAUUGACUCGUUCGGCGCCUUACGGGAAAC